rnacentral:rRNA from 1 species
ACGCUGGCGGCGUGCCUAAUACAUGCAAGUCGAACGGUCUUUCUAUGGAAGCUUGCUUCCACUGAGAAGAUAGUGGCGAACGGGUGAGUAACACGUGGGUAACCUGCCCAUAAGAGGGGGAUAACAUCCGGAAACGGGUGCUAAUACCGCAUAGUUUUCUUGAUCGCAUGAUUGAGAAAGGAAAGACGGCCUUUGUGCUGUCGCUUAUGGAUGGACCCGCGGCGUAUUAGUUAGUUGGUGAGGUAACGGCUCACCAAGACGAUGAUACGUAGCCGACCUGAGAGGGUGAUCGGCCACAUUGGGACUGAGACACGGCCCAAACUCCUACGGGAGGCAGCAGUAGGGAAUCUUCCGCAAUGGACGAAAGUCUGACGGAGCAACGCCGCGUGAGUGAAGAAGGUUUUUUCGGAUCGUAAAACUCUGUUGUCAGAGAAGAACAAGUUGGAGAGUAACUGCUCCAGCCUUGACGGUAUCUGACCAGAAAGCCACGGCUAACUACGUGCCAGCAGCCGC